rnacentral:rRNA from 1 species
GACGAACGCUGGCGGCGUGCUUAACACAUGCAAGUCGAACGGGAUUUAGUAGACAGAAGCCUCGGCUAAAGAUUACUAAUGAGAGUGGCGAACGGGUGAGUAACGCGUGAGCAACCUGCCUAUGACAGUGGGAUAGCCUCGGGAAACCGGGAUUAAUACCGCAUAAAAUCGUAGAAACACAUGUUUUAACGGUCAAAGAUUUAUCGGUCAUAGAUGGGCUCGCGUCUGAUUAGCUAGUUGGUGAGAUAACAGCCCACCAAGGCGACGAUCAGUAGCCGGUCUGAGAGGAUGAACGGCCACAUUGGAACUGAGACACGGUCCAAACUCCUACGGGAGGCAGCAGUGGGGAAUAUUGCACAAUGGGGGAAACCCUGAUGCAGCGACGCCGCGUGAACGAAGAAGGUAUUCGUAUCGUAAAGUUCUGUCCUAUGGGAAGAUAAUGACGGUACCAUAGAAGAAAGCUCCGGCUAAAUACGUG